AUAUGGCUGAUCCCGUUACGGUCA
rnacentral:siRNA from 1 species